rnacentral:rRNA from 1 species
GUGGGGAAUCUUGCGCAAUGGGCGAAAGCCUGACGCAGCCAUGCCGCGUGAAUGAUGAAGGUCUUAGGAUUGUAAAAUUCUUUCACCGGGGACGAUAAUGACGGUACCCGGAGAAGAAGCCCCGGCCAACUUCGUGCCAGCAGCCGCGGUAAUACGAAGGGGGCUAGCGUUGCUCGGAAUUACUGGGCGUAAAGGGCGCGUAGGCGGACAGUUUAGUCAGAGGUGAAAGCCCAGGGCUCAACCUUGGAAUUGCCUUUGAUACUGGCUGUCUUGAGUACGGGAGAGGUGAGUGGAACUCCGAGUGUAGAGGUGAAAUUCGUAGAUAUUCGGAAGAACACCAGUGGCGAAGGCGACUCACUGGCCCGUUACUGACGCUGAGGCGCGAAAGCGUGGGGAGCAAACAGGAUUAGAAACCCCUGUAGUCC